rfam:Haemonchus contortus, ISE/inbred ISE, WGS project CAVP01000000 data, contig: Hcontortus_contig_pathogens_Hcontortus_scaffold_5266
GGCACAAACUUGAAGUAGAGUAGAUCAGUAGUAUCAGCUGGCCCUGCUAUUCUACUCUACUUCAAUUUUGUAUCC